AGCAGUGGGGAAUAUUGGACAAUGGGGGCAACCCUGAUCCAGCCAUGCCGCGUGUGUGAAGAAGGCCUUUUGGUUGUAAAGCACUUUAAGCAGUGAAGAAGACUUUAUGGUUAAUACCCAUAGACGAUGACAUUAGCUGCAGAAUAAGCACCGGCUAACUCUGUGCCAGCAGCCGCGGUAAUACAGAGGGUGCAAGCGUUAAUCGGAAUUACUGGGCGUAAAGCGAGCGUAGGUGGCUUAAUAAGUCAGAUGUGAAAUCCCCGGGCUUAACCUGGGAACUGCAUCUGAUACUGUUAGGCUAGAGUAGGUGAGAGGGAGGUAGAAUUUCAGGUGUAGCGGUGAAAUGCGUAGAGAUCUGAAGGAAUACCGAUGGCGAAGGCAGC
rnacentral:rRNA from 1 species